GGGGAUUUAGCUCAGUGGCAUAGCGCCUGCCUUGCAAGCAGGAAGUCGUGAGUUCGAUCCCCG
rnacentral:tRNA from 1 species